ACGACCUUACUUGAACAGGAUCUGUUCUAUAGGAUCGUACAUCUGUAUCCUUGAGUUCUAAGGAGACAGGACCCAAAGUCUGGUUGAUGAAUCAGGACCGCAUGAUCAGAGCGUGAUUAACAGCUCCUGUUGGUUCUUCUCGGACGCCUCAGAGCAGUAGAGGAUCGUUCUCUGCUUGUUUCGACUGGCAGGGAUGGUCAUGCGGUUGUCUGACAGACU